UAGCCAGCUAGCCUCUCAUGAUGAAUUUUGUCUCACUGAGUGCCUGAUGAACUCAACUGACCCUCUAAGAAGUUGACUGAAGAGGCUUAUCGAGC